rnacentral:rRNA from 1 species
CCUACGGGGGGCAGCAGUGAGGAAUAUUGGUCAAUGGCCGAGAGGCUGAACCAGCCAAGUCGCGUGAGGGAAGACGGCCCUACGGGUUGUAAACCUCUUUUGUCGGGGAGCAAAGCGAGUCACGUGUGACUCAUUGAGAGUACCCGAAGAAAAAGCAUCGGCUAACUCCGUGCCAGCAGCCGCGGUAAUACGGAGGAUGCGAGCGUUAUCCGGAUUUAUUGGGUUUAAAGGGUGCGUAGGCGGAGGUGCAAGUCAGCGGUCAAAUUGCGGGGCUCAACCCCGUACUGCCGUUGAAACUGCAGCCCUUGAGUGCGCGAGAGGUAUGCGGAAUGCGUGGUGUAGCGGUGAAAUGUAUAGAUAUCACGCAGAACUCCGAUUGCGAAGGCAGCAUACCGGCGCGCAACUGACGCUCAUGCACGAAAGCGUGGGUAUCGAACAGGAUUAGAUACCCUGGUAGUC